rnacentral:rRNA from 1 species
GCACAAGCGGAGGAGCAUGUGGUUUAAUUCGAUGAUACGCGAGGAACCGUUACCUGGGCUCGAACGUAAGAUGACUGUAGGUGAAAGCUUAUAUCUCUUCGGAGCAUUUUACGAGGUGCUGCAUGGUUGUCGUCAGCUCGUGCCGUGAGGUGUCGGUUAAGUCCCAUAACGAGCGCAACCCUACCUUUAGUUGCCAUCAGGUAAUGCUGGGGACUCUAAAGGAACUGCCUACGCAAGUAGUGAGGAAGGCGGGGAUGACGUCAAAUCAGCACGGCCCUUACGUCCAGGGCUACACACGUGCUACAAUGGCCGAUACAGAGGGCAGCUACCUGGUGACAGGAUGCAAAUCUCCAAAGUCGGUCUCAGUUCGGAUCGGAGUCUGCAACCCGACUCCGUGAAGUUGGAUUCGCUAGUAAUCGCGCAUCAGCCAUGGCGCGGUGAAUACGUUCCCGGGCCUU